CCUACGGGUGGCUGCAGUGGGGAAUAUUGGGCAAUGGGCGCAAGCCUGACCCAGCAACGCCGCGUGAAGGAAGAAGGCCCUCUGGUUGUAAACUUCUUUUUUUCGGGACGAAACAUAUGACGGUACCGAAUGAAUAAGCCACGCCUAAAUACGUGCACGCAGUCGCGGUAUUACGUAGGUGGCAAGCGUUAUCCGGAUUUACUGGGUGUAAAGGGCGUGUAGGUGGGAGAGCAAGUCAGACGUGAAAUUCCAGGGCUCAACCCUGGAACUGCGUUUGAAACUGUUAGUCUUGAGUGAUGGAGAGGCAGGCGGAAUUCGGGGUGUAGCGGUGAAAUGCGUAGAUAUACGGAGGAACACCAGUGGCGAAGGCGGCCUGCUGGACAUUAACUGACGCUGAGGCGCGAAAGCGUGGGGAGCAAACAGGAUUAGAUACCCGAGUAGUC
rnacentral:rRNA from 1 species